AAUUAGCGCGAUGACCUCCAGCACCUACACACUAAACUACAGUGGCAUGAGACCAUCGCGCAGCCAAAAACUUCGAGCAGUGCCAGCGAUGGCGGUGACGUGAAGCUCUCGCAGAAUCAGCUUCAUUCUCUGAAAGAAAACAUUAGCUUGGAGAGCGAAAAAAUUGAGAAGCUCGUCAGUCGCUUCAAGAACAUGAAGAAGAACUUGGAACUUUAACUGCCGUUCCUACAAAUGCUCAGUAAUGUUACACACUCGUCCUUCUUUUCUAGAGAAAUUAUAAUAAAUUUUUUAUACAAUACCAAAA